rnacentral:rRNA from 1 species
CCCUAGACAGGGGGAUAACUAUUGGAAACGAUAGCUAAGACCGCAUAGGUACGGACACUGCAUGGUGACCGUAUUAAAAGUGCCUCAAAGCACUGGUAGAGGAUGGACUUAUGGCGCAUUAGCUGGUUGGCGGGGUAACGGCCCACCAAGGCGACGAUGCGUAGCCGACCUGAGAGGGUGACCGGCCACACUGGGACUGAGACACGGCCCAGACUCCUACGGGAGGCAGCAUG